rnacentral:lncRNA from 1 species
GUGUCCUCCCAAAUGUAAUGGAAGCUGCAUCUGAAUCUGACGGCAUUAAAUAGGAAUGGUCCUUCUGGAUCAAGUAAUUAAGUAAGCCGAUAGGGGAGAGAGCUACUGAAUGUUCAGCUACACUACUUACCCUUUGUCAGGGCUAUUUCAUGCAGAGUUUCCACAACAUGGAUUUUUGCAGAAGCUGUUGCCUCUCCUUUGGCAUUUGAUGCAUGACACUCAUAUUCUCCUGCAUCUUCUUUGCUCAGAGGAGAGAUCUAGGGAAAGAAACACCCCCCCCCAUUAAGUAUCCCAUGAAGAAGUUGUUAAUUUCCUAAUUAAAUAAGGGGAUUAGCAGAAAGGAUGAAGUAUCUGUUAACCUUUAGAGACUGCACUGACUGCAUGAUUGCUUCUGCCUGCUCUAAACAGCUGUUUGGUUCAUACAGUGGUAUUCUCCAGGCAGGUUUGGGACAGGCCACUCCUGGGCUUCAGCCUAGCAUUGCUGCACUUUGCUAGGCCAGACUGAGCAUGCUGUAACACUCCCUUUCUUUUAGCAUUUACUUAGUUUGGAGCUAUGUUGGAGCCCUGCACACUUGGCAAGAGGCUGGAGGCAGGAAUAAAAAAAUAAAUCCUUCCAGCAACAUUCUGCAUCUAGGCAGUUAGAUCUGCAAAAUGACUGGCUCUAAAUCUUCCCUCUCCGUUUCCACCUCUGCUUUGGUGGUAUGUGCUGCAGGAACCACUUUGCCUGACCCGUGCCAGAUUCUCUGCAGCUGGGAGCCAUCGUACUGAUGCAAUUCCCUUACUGGGAUGCAAAGCAGCUCCCUCCCUACUGCUUCCCUCCAAAGUGUGGCAGCUGGUCAUUAGCCUGCAGGUACUCUGCUAGCUUAGAAAGCCUUCUGCAUGACAGCUGAUGGCUUCUGCACUGUGCUAUUCUGCAGCAGGUGGUGUGUGUCACUGGAGCAAAGACAGCUGCUAAGUCUAGAAGGUCUCACAUGGGGGUCUUAGGCCCUCUGUACUGAUUACACUUUCUAGACACAAAGAUUCUUUUCCUCUGCGUGUCCUAACCAUUGCCAUACAUCUUCUGUGGAGAGGUUGUCUGCAAACUGCACUGUUUGGAAACAGUGUGCACCAAGUACUUACCAGUACCCAGCCGGUCACUUCAUGUUUCUCAGGCCCCCCUCGGGUCUGAAUAGCCAGAUUUUCUCGGUCACCAGGCAGAAGCUCCAUUCUCUGGAUACCAUACUGUCCUCGAAUGAUCUUGUUCCAGAUGAGGACAGGGGUUGGGAUGCCAAUGACUUCACAGCUCAGGUAGAUCUGUGCUCCUGUCACAUUCCAGAUGUCCUUAGGAGGGGUCACGAUGGAGGGUCCUUGCUCGCAGGCUCCCUUGCUGCGCUGGCUGAUGGCGGGCUCGCCGCGGCUCUGUGCGCGCAGGCUGGCGGCGCGGAGCUGGCAGCCGCUGCCGUAGGUGAGCCCGUCGCUGCCGCACACCGGGUAGCGGCUCUUGCACACGCACACGCCGACCGGGGCGGCGGGGCCGGAGGCGGCGGCGGGGCCCGGGCCGCCCUUCGCCUUGCGGCGCUUGCGGCUCUUCACGCAUUCCAGCCCGGCGGCGCAGCGCCCGCCGCCAGCGCCGGCGCUGCCGCACGCCUCGCCUUCGCCGCGCCCGCACUGCCAGCAGCACCCGCAGGCGUCCCGCACCCGGCCCAGCGGGCAGCCCCGCGGCGGCAGCGCCGGGCACCGCGCCGCAUCGCACGGCCCGCAACCCCCCAGCUCCGUCACCGCCACCACGGCGGGCGCCAGCAGCGCCAACAACCACAGCACCGAGGAGGGCAUGGCGACGCGGCGACCGGCCGUCCCGCGCCGACUUAAG